rnacentral:rRNA from 1 species
AUUGAACGCUAGCGGGAUGCCUUACACAUGCAAGUCGAACGGCAGCGCGGACUUCGGUCUGGCGGGGAGUGGCGAACGGGUGAGUAAUGUAUCGGAACGUGCCCAGUAGCGGGGGAUAACUACGCGAAAGCGUAGCUAAUACCGCAUACGCCCUACGGGGGAAAGCACGGGAUCGUAAGACCUCGCACUAUUGGAGCGGCCCAUAUCGGAUUAGCUAGUUGGUGAGGUAACGGCUCACCAAGGCGACGAUCCGUAGCUGGUUUGAGAGGACGACCAGCCACACUGGGACUGAGACACGGCCCAGACUCCUACGGGAGGCAGCAGUGGGGAAUUUUGGACAAUGGGGGCAACCCUGAUCCAGCCAUCCCGCGUGUGCGAUGAAGGCCUUCGGGCUGUAAAGCACUUUUGGCAGGAAAGAAACGUCGCGGGCUAAUACCCCGUGGAACUGACGGUACCUGCAGAAUAAGCACCGGCUAACUACGUG